ensembl:snRNA U4 U4 spliceosomal RNA
AGCUUUGCACAGUGGCAGUAUCCUAGCCAAAGAGGUUUAUCCAAGGUGGGAUUACUGCUAGUUGAAAACUGUAUAUUAUAUGUUAAAAGAGCAGAUUAGACAUGGUCUACCACACACAAACCCAGUAACUAUGUGAGGUGAUGGAUGUGUUAACUAACUUGAUUGUGGUAAUCAUUUCACAUGUAUUAAAACA